GAUUUCUGGUAUAGUGCGCUUGGCCCGCCACGGUUUCGUGUGUGAGUGCCGAUGCGUGCUUACCAUCUUUCUGGAGAACGUUCCUGCCCUUUACUGGGUUGGGUUCGCAAUCCAGAACUUUUACUUUGAAAAAAUUAGAGUGUUUAAAGCAGGCGUGAGCUAUGAAUACAUUAGCAUGGAAUGAAUAGGUAGGACUUGAGUUUUAUUUUGUUGGUUCCAGAACUUAAGUAAUGAUUGACAGGGAUUGUUGGGGGUGCCAGUAUUCAGCGGCCAGAGGUGAAAUUCUUGGAUUCGCUGAAGACUAACUUAAGCGAAAGCAUU
rnacentral:rRNA from 1 species